CAGUGAGGAAUAUUGGUCAAUGGGCGCAAGCCUGAACCAGCCAUCCCGCGUGCAGGAAGACGGCGCUAUGCGUUGUAAACUGCUUUUCCAGGGGAAGAAAACCUGAUACGUGUAUUGGCUUGCCGGUACCCUGGGAAUAAGCAUCGGCUAACUCCGUGCCAGCAGCCGCGGUAAUACGGAGGAUGCGAGCGUUAUCCGGAUUUAUUGGGUUUAAAGGGUGCGUAGGCGGAUUAAUAAGUCAGUGGUGAAAACCUUCAGCUUAACUGGAGAACUGCCAUUGAUACUGUUAGUCUUGAGUACGGUCAAGGUAGGCGGAAUGUGUAAUGUAGCGGUGAAAUGCUUAGAUAUUACACAGAACACCGAUUGCGAAGGCAGCUUACUGGGCCAUUACUGACGCUGAGGCACGAAAGCGUGGGGAGCGAACAGGAUUAGA
rnacentral:rRNA from 1 species